CGGAAGUAAAAGUCGUAACAAGGUUUCCGUAGGUGAACCUGCGGAAGGAUCAUAAAAAAUUGGACUCCAUUGGUGAGUUCAUUAAUAAUCCCUACCCUUUGUGAAUUUGUUUGUUUGAAUAAUUUUUUUUCCAAAAAAAAUUAUUGAAUGUCUUUCCUUGUUUUGGUGGAGCUUGUAAAGUGAAACCAGGCAGGGGAAUGGCAAACAAUAAUUAUUUUUGAAAAAGACCUUUUUUUAAAAUUAAACUUUUUGUAUUCAUUGUCUAAAAUUAAUUUUUAUAAUAUAAAAACAACUUUUGACAAUGGAUCUCUUGGUUCUCGCAACGAUGAAGAACGCAGCAAAAUGCGAUAAGUAGUGUGAAUUGCAGAAUACGUGAAUCAUCGAAUCUUCGAACGCAUAUUGCACUUUUUUAGUUUACUAAAAAGUAUGUCUGUUUGAGUAUCAGUAAAAUAUUCUCAUAAAAAACAUUGUUUUUUUAUGGUUAUGAGUGUUUUACAACGAUAACAAGUUGUUUCACUUUAAAUUCUUUGUUAUCAAAAAAAUCAUUAAAAGCUAAUUUUAAAGAUUUUUUAAAAUUGGAUAAAAUUUUCCCGUAAAAAGGAAUAACCUAAACAAUUUUAAAAAAUUAAAAUUGGUUUGAUUUUUUUGAAACCCAAAGGAAAAAAAACGAAAUUAACUUGAUCUCAAAUCAGAUAAGAGUACCCGCUGAACUUAAGCAUAUCAAUAAGCGGAGGAAAAGAAACUAACUAGGAUUCCCUCAGUAACGGCGAGUGAAGCGGGAAGAGCUCAAAUUUGAAAUCUUCAAGUUUUACCUUGACGAAUUGUAGUUUAAAGAAGUGUUUUCUGUUGGAGUUUUGGUAAAAGUUCUUUGGAAAAGGACAUCAUAGAGGGUGAGAAUCCCGUAUUUGACCAUUAUCUCCAGCUUUGUGAUACACUUUCAAAGAGUCGGAUUGUUUGGGAAUGCAGUCCAAAAUGGGUGGUAAAUUUCAUCUAAAGCUAAAUACUGGCGAGAGACCGAUAGCGAACAAGUACCGUGAGGGGAAGAUGAAAAGAACUUUGAAAAGAGAGUUAAACAGUACGUGAAAUUGUCAAAAGGGAAGCGUUUGACACCAGUGUUGUUUUCUCGAAAAUCAAUUAAAAAGGCCGGAUUUUGUGUUGUAUUGACUUUAUCAGCUUCUGCACUCUUUUCUUGUCUUUUUUAAUGCACUUUUCGUUUAACAAGUCAACAUCAUUUCUUUUGUUGUAAAAGGGUCAUUGGAAGGUGGCUUUCUUUUCGGAGAAAGUGUUUAUAGCCUUGGCCUCUGCAAUCGGAGAGAUUGAGGUCUGCAGCGUAGAUCCUUCGGGGUUAGAUACAUUUGUGCUAAGUUAUAGCCUUUCAUAGACAACUUGUUGACUAUGAUCAGUCAUGUAGCUUACUCGCUUAUGCUAUUUUACCACGCUUAGGAUGUUGAG
rnacentral:misc_RNA from 1 species